UUGUACUGAGAUUUGAAGAUGAAAUGAAAAGAUUUUCUUAUCUGUGAGAUUCCAGCUGAAGGAGGUGAACAUGAUUUGUGGCGCUAUGCUUUCCAUUGACAGGAGAGCUUCUCGUGUUGAUAACGUGUUGUAAAAUCGACGGUGUGUGCAGUGGAAUAAAUAAACAAGACACAAAAUUUACGAGGUUCCUCUACAGUCAGUGUGACUGGAGUACGUCCUCGGGGCAGUAGUGGUGCU
rnacentral:lncRNA from 1 species